GACCGCCCGGCGGAAAGCGACGGGCCAAGGCCACACGGACAGCCGGGUCGGAUGCCGA
rnacentral:sRNA from 1 species